rnacentral:rRNA from 1 species
GGGUUGUGAGGUUAAGCGACUAAGCGUACACGGUGGAUGCCCUGGCAGUCAGAGGCGAUGAAGGGCGUGCUAAUCUGCGAUAAGCGCCGGUAAGGUGAUAUGAACCGUUAUAACCGGCGAUACCCGAAUGGGGAAACCCAGUGUGAUUCGUCACACUAUCAUUAACUGAAUCCAUAGGUUAAUGAGGCGAACCGGGGGAACUGAAACAUCUAAGUACCCCGAGGAAAAGAAAUCAACCGAGAUUCCCCCAGUAGCGGCGAGCGAACGGGGAGGAGCCCAGAGCCUGAAUCAGCAUGUGUGUUAGUGGAAGCGUCUGGAAAGGCGCGCGAUACAGGGUGACAGCCCCGUACACAAAAGCGCAUGUGCUGUGAGCUCGAUGAGUAGGGCGGGACACGUGGUAUCCUGUCUGAAUAUGGGGGGACCAUCCUCCAAGGCUAAAUACUCCUGACUGACCGAUAGUGAACCAGUACCGUGAGGGAAAGGCGAAAAGAACCCCGGCGAGGGGAGUGAAAAAGAGCCUGAAACCGUGUACGUACAAGCAGUGGGAGCACCCUUCGGGGUGUGACUGCGUACCUUUUGUAUAAUGGGUCAGCGACUUAUAUUCUGUAGCAAGGUUAACCGUAUAGGGGAGCCGGAGGGAAACCGAGUCUUAACCGGGCGUUAAGUUGCAGGGUAUAGACCCGAAACCCGGUGAUCUAGCCAUGGGCAGGUUGAAGGUUGGGUAACACUAACUGGAGGACCGAACCGACUAAUGUUGAAAAAUUAGCGGAUGACCUGUGGCUGGGGGUGAAAGGCCAAUCAAACCGGGAGAUAGCUGGUUCUCCCCGAAAGCUAUUUAGGUAGCGCCUCGUGAAUUCAUCUCCGGGGGUAGAGCACUGUUUCGGCUAGGGGGCCAUCCCGGCUUACCAACCCGAUGCAAACUGCGAAUACCGGAGAAUGUUAUCACGGGAGACACACGGCGGGUGCUAACGUCCGUCGUGAAGAGGGAAACAACCCAGACCGCCAGCUAAGGUCCCAAAGUCAUGGUUAAGUGGGAAACGAUGUGGGAAGGCCCAGACAGCCGAGGAUGUUGGCUUAGAAGCAGCCAUCAUUUAAAGAAAGCGUAAUAGCUCACUGGUCGAGUCGGCCUGCGCGGAAGAUGUAACGGGGCUAAACCAUGCACCGAAGCUGCGGCAGCGAACGUAUCACCCAAGACAACUUUACGGAGUUGACGAUUGACGGAGCGAAGCGACGUCAAAGCGUUCAUUAAAGUCGAGUUGGCUUAGGGAUACGUUCGUUGGGUAGGGGAGCGUUCUGUAAGCCUGUGAAGGUGUGUCGUGAGGCAUGCUGGAGGUAUCAGAAGUGCGAAUGCUGACAUAAGUAACGAUAAAGCGGGUGAAAAGCCCGCUCGCCGGAAGACCAAGGGUUCCUGUCCAACGUUAAUCGGGGCAGGGUGAGUCGACCCCUAAGGCGAGGCCGAAAGGCGUAGUCGAUGGGAAACGGGUUAAUAUUCCCGUACUUGGUGUUACUGCGAAGGGGGGACGGAGAAGGCUAUGUUGGCCGGGCGACGGUUGUCCCGGUUUAAGCGUGUAGGUGUGUGUUCCAGGUAAAUCCGGUUCACUUUAACACUGAGGCGUGACGACGAGGCACUACGGUGCUGAAGCAACAAAUGCCCUGCUUCCAGGAAAAGCCUCUAAGCAUCAGGUAACAUCAAAUCGUACCCCAAACCGACACAGGUGGUCAGGUAGAGAAUACCAAGGCGCUUGAGAGAACUCGGGUGAAGGAACUAGGCAAAAUGGUGCCGUAACUUCGGGAGAAGGCACGCUGACACGUAGGUGAAGUGAUUUACUCAUGGAGCUGAAGUCAGUCGAAGAUACCAGCUGGCUGCAACUGUUUAUUAAAAACACAGCACUGUGCAAACACGAAAGUGGACGUAUACGGUGUGACGCCUGCCCGGUGCCGGAAGGUUAAUUGAUGGGGUCAGCGCAAGCGAAGCUCCUGAUCGAAGCCCCGGUAAACGGCGGCCGUAACUAUAACGGUCCUAAGGUAGCGAAAUUCCUUGUCGGGUAAGUUCCGACCUGCACGAAUGGCGUAAUGAUGGCCGGGCUGUCUCCACCCGAGACUCAGUGAAAUUGAACUCGCUGUGAAGAUGCAGUGUACCCGCGGCAAGACGGAAAGACCCCGUGAACCUUUACUAUAGCUUGACACUGAACAUUGAGCCUUGAUGUGUAGGAUAGGUGGGAGGCUUUGAAGUGUGGACGCCAGUCUGCAUGGAGCCGACCUUGAAAUACCACCCUUUAAUGUUUGAUGUUCUAACGUGGACCCGUAAUCCGGGUUGCGGACAGUGUCUGGUGGGUAGUUUGACUGGGGCGGUCUCCUCCUAAAGAGUAACGGAGGAGCACGAAGGUUGGCUAAUCCUGGUCGGACAUCAGGAGGUUAGUGCAAUGGCAUAAGCCAGCUUGACUGCGAGCGUGACGGCGCGAGCAGGUGCGAAAGCAGGUCAUAGUGAUCCGGUGGUUCUGAAUGGAAGGGCCAUCGCUCAACGGAUAAAAGGUACUCCGGGGAUAACAGGCUGAUACCGCCCAAGAGUUCAUAUCGACGGCGGUGUUUGGCACCUCGAUGUCGGCUCAUCACAUCCUGGGGCUGAAGUAGGUCCCAAGGGUAUGGCUGUUCGCCAUUUAAAGUGGUACGCGAGCUGGGUUUAGAACGUCGUGAGACAGUUCGGUCCCUAUCUGCCGUGGGCGCUGGAGAACUGAGGGGGGCUGCUCCUAGUACGAGAGGACCGGAGUGGACGCAUCACUGGUGUUCGGGUUGUCAUGCCAAUGGCACUGCCCGGUAGCUAAAUGCGGAAGAGAUAAGUGCUGAAAGCAUCUAAGCACGAAACUUGCCCCGAGAUGAGUUCUCCCUGAGACUUAGAGUCUCCUGAAGGAACGUUGAAGACGACGACGUUGAUAGGCCGGGUGUGUAAGCGCAGCGAUGCGUUGAGCUAACCGGUACUAAUGAACCGUGAGGCUUAACCUUACAACGCCGAAG